rnacentral:rRNA from 1 species
CCUACGGGUGGCAGCAGUGAGGAAUAUUGGUCAAUGGACGAGAGUCUGAACCAGCCAAGUAGCGUGAAGGAUGACUGCCCUAUGGGUUGUAAACUUCUUUUAUAUGGGAAUAAAACGUUCCACGUGUGGGAUUUUGUAUGUACCAUAUGAAUAAGGAUCGGCUAACGCCGUGCCAGCAGCCGCGGUAAUACGGAGGAUCCGAGCGUUAUCCGGAUUUAUUGGGUUUAAAGGGAGCGUAGGUGGAUUGUUAAGUCAGUUGUGAAAGUUUGCGGCUCAACCGUAAAAUUGCAGUUGAAACUGGCAGUCUUGAGUACAGUAGAGGUGGGCGGAAUUCGUGGUGUAGCGGUGAAAUGCUUAGAUAUCACGAAGAACUCCGAUUGCGAAGGCAGUUCACUGGACUGCAACUGACACUGAGGCUCGAAAGUGUGGGUAUCAAACAGGAUUAGAUACCCUUGUAGUC